GAUGAACGCUAGCGGCAGGCUUAAUACAUGCAAGUCGUGGGGCAGCAGGGGUAGCAAUACCCGCUGGCGACCGGCAAACGGGUGCGGAACACGUACGCAACCUUCCUUUAACUGGAGAAUAGCCCCUCGAAAGAGGGAUUAAUACUCCGUAACAUAUAGAUGUGGCAUCACAAUUAUAUUAUAGCUCCGGCGGUUAAAGAUGGGCGUGCGCCUGAUUAGAUAGUUGGCAGGGUAACGGCCUACCAAGUCUGCGAUCAGUAACUGGUGUGAGAGCACGACCAGUCACACGGGCACUGAGACACGGGCCCGACUCCUACGGGAGGCAGCAGUAAGGAAUAUUGGUCAAAUGGACGCAAGUCUGAACCAGCCAUGCCGCGUGGAGGAUUAAGGGCCCUCUGGGUUGUAAACUCCUUUUANCUGGGAANAAAUGCUAUUUUUCAAAGUGCUUGACGUACCAGAGGAAUAAGCACCGGCUAACUCCGUGCCAGCCGCCGACCGU
rnacentral:rRNA from 1 species